UACGGAGGGAGCUAGCGUUGUUCGGAAUUACUGGGCGUAAAGCGCGCGUAGGCGGCUUUGUAAGUUAGAGGUGAAAGCCCGGGGCUCAACCCCGGAAUUGCCUUUAAGACUGCAUCGCUUGAAUCCGGGAGAGGUGAGUGGAAUUCCGAGUGUAGAGGUGAAAUUCGUAGAUAUUCGGAAGAACACCGGUGGCGAAGGCGGCCCACUGGUCCGGUACUGACGCUGGAGGUGCGAAAGCCGUGGGGAGCAAACAGG
rnacentral:rRNA from 1 species